GCACAAAAGAGAAAGGCGGCCAUUGUUACUCCCGGUCCUAGUGAAAAGCCAACUGUCCCGGUUGAUGUAUUAUCAAAUAGAUAUUUGAAAAACACCCUGAGAAUUGAUUAUAAAAAAAACGUUUGACAUGUUUCUGUGCAGAUUAUGGAUAUAAUUUGACAUUUUUGUCUGCGUUGUCAUGACCGCUCUUUCCGGUGGAUUCCUGGGCAUAACGCACCAAACUAACGGAGGUAUUUGGAUAUAAAAAAUAACUUUAUGGAACAAAAGGAACAUUUGUUGUCUAACUGGGAGUCUCGUGAGUGAAAACAUCCGAAGAUCAUCAAAGGACCUGAGCCCAAGGACUAUGCCUCAGGACUACCUGGCCGGAUGACUCCUUGCUGUCCCCAGUCCACCUGGUCGUGCUGCUGCUCCAGUUUCAACUGUUCUGCCUGCAACUUCAUCAAACGUGCUACCUUGUCCCGGACAUGCUGUUUUCGACUCUCUCUCGCUAACUCUGAAUGAUCAGCUAUGAAAGCCAACUGACACUUCCUCCUGAGGUGCUGACCGGUUGCACCCUCUACAAUUACUGGGAUUAUUAUUAUUUGACCCUGCUGGUCAUCUAUGAACGUUUGAACAUCUUGGCCAUGUUCUGUUAUAAUCUCCACCCGGCACAGCUAGAAGGGGACCGGCCACCCCUCAGAGCCUGGUUCCUCUCUAGGUUUCUUCCUAGGUUCCAGCAAUUCUAGUUUUUCCUAUCAACUGUGCUUCUACAUUUGCAUUGCCUGCUGUUUGGGGUUUUAAGCUGGGUUUCUGUAUAGCACUUUGUGACAUUGGCUGAUGUAAAAAGGGCUUCAUAAAUACAUUUGAUUGAUUGAACAAUGUUGAAUGGGUGAAAACAAAGAAGGACUCUCCAAUAGUAGUACCAAAACAUUGAAAGACAGUUCUCAAAAGUGAGUUUACAAGUUGAUCAACUUUCAAAGCAGAAUUAGUUUCCCAUUGUUUCCUCAAAUGCAGUGUAUGAUAUACCAUUUUGUAGCUCUGAGUCUCUACUUUAUAUCCAGUGUAAAAAACAGAAAUGUAAAUGUUGCUACCUCUGACUGAAUCCAGGUGGUGAGUCACACAUAUAAGUAUUUAUAUUGUAUGAAUGUGAAGUUCAUUUUGGUUUUCAUGUGAAGUCAUACAGUAAGACAAGGUAUUUGUGGAUAAAAAAUUAAUUGUGCUUUAGGUAAAUUUCAUGUAUGUUGUGUAAUUUAAAGUGUACACUUGUUUGAUGUGAAUGUUUUAAUAGUACGACUAAACUAUAUGGAAUUGUUUUAAAAAGGUCAUACCAAUGAUCAUUUUGCAAUUUGAUUUAGAAUGUUAAGACUCUUUCAAGUAUAACAAAUAUACACUACCGUUCAAAGGUUUGGGGCCACUUAGAAAUGUCCUUGUUUUUGAAAGAAAAGCACAUUUUUUGUCCAUUAAAAUAAAAUAAAAUUGAUCAGAAAUAUAAUGUAGACAUUGUUAAUGUUGUAAAUGACUAUUGUAACUGGAAACGUCUGAUUUUUAAUGGAAUAUCUACGUAGGCGUAUAGAGGCCCAUUAUCAGCAACCAUCACCGCUACUGUAUGUUCCAAUGAACUGCGCAAACUGUCUCUAACCAGAAUAGAAAGAGGAGUAGGAGGUUCCAGUGCACAACCGAGCAAAAGGACAAGUACAUCAGUGUCUAGUUUGAGGAACAGAUGCCGCACAAGUCCUCAACUUGCAGC
ensembl:lncRNA